GACGAACGCUGGCGGCGUGCUUAACACAUGCAAGUCGAACGGAAAGGCCCUGCUUUUGUGGGGUGCUCGAGUGGCGAACGGGUGAGUAACACGUGAGUAACCUGCCCUUGACUUUGGGAUAACUUCAGGAAACUGGGGCUAAUACCGGAUAGGAGCUCCUGCUGCAUGGUGGGGGUUGGAAAGUUUCGGCGGUUGGGGAUGGACUCGCGGCUUAUCAGCUUGUUGGUGGGGUAGUGGCUUACCGAGGCUUUGACGGGUAGCCGGCCUGAGAGGGUGACCGGCCACAUUGGGACUGAGAUACGGCCCAGACUCCUACGGGAGGCAGCAGUGGGGAAUAUUGCACAAUGGGCGGAAGCCUGAGGCAGCAACGCCGCGUGCGGGAUGACGGCCUUCGGGUUGUAGACCGCUUUCGCCUGUGACGAAGCGUGAGUGACGGUAAUGGGUAAAGAAGCACCGGCUAACUACGUG
rnacentral:rRNA from 1 species